rnacentral:misc_RNA from 1 species
AACAAGGCGUACCUGCGGACCUGCGGAGGGAUCAUUACCGAGUACCGGGUCUUCGGGCCCUGCUCCCACCCUCUGUGUACCUACCUAUUUUUCGUUGCCUCGGCGGGGCUGAUCCCGCGCGACCCCUGUGGCCGCGUGGGAGACCCGCCGGGGGGACACAACCUAAACUCUGAUUUAACGUCGAGUCUGAGAAAAACAAGAAUAAAUCAAAACUUUUAACAACGGAUCUCAGAUCGGAAG